rnacentral:rRNA from 1 species
GAUGAACGCUAGCGGCAGGCCUAACACAUGCAAGUCGAACGAGACCUUCGGGUCUAGUGGCGCACGGGUGCGUAACGCGUAGGCAAUCUACCCGAUACAGGGGAAUAACACGGGGAAACUCGUGCUAAUACCGCGUAAUAAAUGAGAAGGCAUCUUUUUAUUUUAAAAGCUUCGGCGGUAUCGGAAGAGCCUGCGUCCUAUUAGCUAGUUGGUAAGGUAACAGCUUACCAAGGCGACGAUAGGUAGGGGAACUGAGAGGUUGAUCCCCCACACUGGUACUGAGAUACGGACCAGACUCCUACGGGAGGCAGCAGUGAGGAAUAUUGGUCAAUGGACGGAAGUCUGAACCAGCCAUGCCGCGUGUCGGAAGACGGCCCUCUGGGUUGUAAACGGCUUUUCUUUGGGAAGAACACGCUCUUGCGAGAGCAACUGACGGUACCAAAGGAAUAAGCACCGGCUAACUACG